UAGGGAAUCUUCGGCAAUGGACGAAAGUCUGACCGAGCAACGCCGCGUGAGUGAAGAAGGUUUUCGGAUCGUAAAACUCUGUUGUUAGAGAAGAACAAGGACGUUAGUAACUGAACGUCCCCUGACGGUAUCUAACCAGAAAGCCACGGCUAACUACGUGCCAGCAGCCGCGGUAAUACGUAGGUGGCAAGCGUUGUCCGGAUUUAUUGGGCGUAAAGCGAGCGCAGGCGGUUUCUUAAGUCUGAUGUGAAAGCCCCCGGCUCAACCGGGGAGGGUCAUUGGAAACUGAGAGACUUGAGUGCAGAAGAGGAGAGUGGAAUUCCAUGUGUAGCGGUGAAAUGCGUAGAUAUAUGGAGGAACACCAGUGGCGAGGGCGGCUCUCUGGUCUGUAACUGACGCUGAGGCUCGAAAGCGUGGGGAGCAAACAGG
rnacentral:rRNA from 1 species